rnacentral:rRNA from 1 species
CUGCUCAAUGAUUUUUUAAAUUGCUGUGGUAUUAUGACUAUACGAAGGUAUUGUAAUAAGGCUUUAAUUGGGUGCUAAGAGAAUGGUUUAACAGGGAUAGGCUUUUUUCUUACUUAAAUUAGAAUUUAAUUUAAAAAUGAAAAAGUUUUUAUGUAAUUUUAGGACAAGAAGACCCUAUGAAUUUUUUUAAAAAUUAUUUUGGAGGUUUAUUGGAAUAAAAAUAGGAAUGGUUUUUAAUUGAUUGGGGUGAUUUUUAAAUCUUGAGAAACUUUAGAAAUAUGUUUUUUGAUCCAAUAAUAUUGAUAGAUUGAGUAAAAUACUCUAGGGAUAACAGCGUUAUUAUUUUGGAUAGUUCAUAUAGAUAAAAUAGAUUGCGACCUCGAUGUUGGAUUAGGAUACCUUUAUAAUGAAGAAGUUAUGAAAGGGAGUUUGCUCAACUUUUAAAUUCCUACUUGAUCUGAGUUCAGACCGG